CUACGGGACGCAGCAGUUUCGAAUCAUUCACAAUGGGGGCAACCCUGAUGGUGCAACGCCGCGUGGGGGACGAAGGUCUUCGGAUUGUAAACCCCUGUCACACAGGACUAACCGUAAGGUUCAUAGCCUUACCUGAAUUAACUGUGAGAGGAAGUAGUGGCUAACUCCGUGCCAGCAGCCGCGGUAAUACGGAGACUACGAGCGUUACUCGGAUUCACUGGGCGUAAAGGGAGCGCAGGCGGAAUUGUGUGUUAGGUGUGAAAUCCCGGGGCUCAACUUCGGAAUAGCGCCUAAAACUAUAAUUCUUGAGACUUGGAGAGGUAAGCGGAAUUUCUGGUGUAGCGGUAAAAUGCGCAGAUAUCAGAAGGAACACCGAAGGCGAAGGCAGCUUACUGGACAAGAUCUGACGCUCAAGCUCGAAAGCGUGGGUAGCGAAAGGGAUUAGAUACCCCAGUAGUC
rnacentral:rRNA from 1 species